rnacentral:misc_RNA from 1 species
AGCACAUUCCAGGAGAUAGCAGGAAGCAAGGACACUGUAGGACAAUAUGAGAGCCAUAUGGCAUUUACAAUGCCUGGAUUGUACAGAGUUGUUCAUGGCAUUAAUGUGUUCGACCCCAAGUUCAACAUCGUCUCACCUGGAGCUGAUAUUAACCUCUACUUCCCGUACUCCGAAUCGGAAAAGAGACUUACAGCAUUUCACCCUGAAAUUGAUGAGCUGCUGUACAGUGACGUUGAGAAUGACGAACAUCUGUGUGUGCUCAAGGACAGGACUAAGCCAAUUUUAUUCACAAUGGCAAGGUUGGAUCGUGUGAAGAAUUUAACCGGACUUGUUGAGUGGUACGCCAAGAAUCCACGACUAAGGGGAUUGGUUAACCUGGUCGUAGUUGGCGGAGAUCGAAGGAAGGAAUCCAAAGAUUUGGAAGAGCAGGCAGAGAUGAAGAAGAUGUAUGAGCUAAUAGAGACUCAUAACUUGAAUGGCCAAUUCAGAUGGAUUUCUUCCCAGAU